CCCACUUCCCACGAUUAUCUUUUCCACAACCAGUUCCCUACGAAUAAGUACAUAGAUUAAGUAACUUCCUCUUCAACUCGUCCUGAGAUCAUCCCUCACCGCUAUUAACAAGUGCACGCCGCCGCCACCGCCAGAUCACACCACGCCGCCGCUGCCGCCCCCAUAUCAUACCACGCAGCCGUUCAUGACUUCCGGUAAGCCCCGAUCCGGAUUCCCUCGGUUCCCAUAUCACACGCCGCUGCCGCCGCUGCCGUCACCAUAUCACACCACGCCGCCGCUGUCGUGCAGCCAUUCAUGAGUUCGGGCAAACCCGAUUUGGAUUCCCUUGGAUCGCCUCCGUCCUCCACACUUGGGCCGCCACAAGCCCCGCGACGCUGUCGUGGUGGAUUUUGCCAUCACUCCGCACUGACCAGGGAUGAACGCCCCUGCAUCGCCGACCACGGAUGGACACCAUGCUUCUUCUACAUCUCCAGAGCAGCCGCCAUUUUCUUCGGUUAUUUAGGGUAAGAUGCCAUAGGUUCCAGUCAACCCCCGCCUCGCCUGUAUGCAUCCCCCUCAAUGAAGAUUUGCAGAAUACUGAACAUGACCUUGGAUGCUUAGACUGUGGUGGCAGCGGCAACAUUCAGGACAGAUAAAUUCAUGAUGCAUGGCUUGGAUGCUGAUUGCAAGGCCGUGAAUGGGCUACUACUAGAUAGUUUCACAUUAUCUUUUAGAAUGUUAUUCUUUAGGUCAAUGUUUCAAACAAUAUGUUUUAGAAUGUCGGAGAUGUUAAUUGCAAGGUUGAGAAUUAGCCUACUACUAGAUUGUUUCACAUCUUGUAAUCUUUGGAUUGUGCUCAAUGUAAUGCAACAGAAUCAAUUUAAUAUAUAUGAGACCUUUGGGUUUAUUA